UUAAAAGACCUAGCAAUAGGUAUGCUUAGGGAAGAGCUUGCGUCACAUUAGUUAGUUGGUGGGGUAAUGGCCUACCAAGACGAUGAUGUGUAGCCGGGCUGAGAGGUCGAACGGCCACAUUGGGACUGAGACACGGCCCAAACUCCUACGGGAGGCAGCAGUAAGGAAUUUUCGGCAAUGGAGGAAACUCUGACCGAGCAAUGCCGCGUGAACGAUGAAGUAUUUUGGUACGUAAAGUUCUUUUAUUAGGGAAGAAAAGAUGGUGGAAAAACCAUUAUGACGGUACCUAAUGAAUAAGCCCCGGCUAACUAUGUGCCAGCAGCCGCGGUAAUACAUAGGGGGCAAGCGUUAUCCGGAAUUAUUGGGCGUAAAGGGUGCGUAGGCGGUUAAAUAAGUUUAUGGUCUAAGUGCAACGCUCAACGUUGUGAUGCUAUAAAAACUGUUUAGCUAGAGUUGGAUAGAGGCAAGUGGAAUUCCGUGUGUAGUGGUAAAAUGCGUAAAUAUACGGAGGAACACCAGAAGCGAAGGCGGCUUGCUGGGUCUUAACUGACGCUGAGGCACGAAAGCGUGGGGAGCAAACAGGAUUAGAUACCCUGGUAGUCCACGCCCUAAACGAUGAGUACUAAACGUUGGAUAAAACCAGUGUUGAAGUUAACACAUUAAGUACUCCGCCUGAGUAGUACGUACGCAAGUAUGAAACUUAAAGGAAUUGACGGGACUCCGCACAAGCGGUGGAUCAUGUUGUUUAAUUCGAAGGUACCCGAAAAACCUCACCAGGUCUUGACAUGCUUUUGCAAAGCUGUAGAAAUACAGUGGAGGUUAUCAGAAGCACAGGUGGUGCAUGGUUGUCGUCAGCUCGUGUCGUGAGAUGUUGGGUUAAGUCCCGCAACGAGCGCAACCCUUGUUGUCAAUUGCCAUCAUUAAGUUGGGGACUUUAGCAAGACUGCCAAUGAUAAAUUGGAGGAAGGUGGGGACGACGUCAAAUCAUCAUGCCCCUUAUGACCUGGGCUACAAACGUGAUACAAUGGCUGUUACAAAGGGUAGCUAAAGCGUAAGCUUCUGGCGAAUCUCAAAAAAACAGUCUCAGUUCGGAUUG
rnacentral:rRNA from 1 species